rnacentral:rRNA from 1 species
ACGGGAGGCAGCAGUGAGGAAUAUUGGUCAAUGGGCGUAAGCCUGAACCAGCCAAGUCGCGUGAGGGAUGAAGGUUCUAUGGAUCGUAAACCUCUUUUAUAAGGGAAUAAAGUGCGGGACGUGUCCUGUUUUGUAUGUACCUUAUGAAUAAGGAUCGGCUAACUCCGUGCCAGCAGCCGCGGUAAUACGGAGGAUCCGAGCGUUAUCCGGAUUUAUUGGGUUUAAAGGGUGCGUAGGCGGCCUUUUAAGUCAGCGGUGAAAGUCUGUGGCUCAACCAUAGAAUUGCCGUUGAAACUGGGGGGCUUGAGUAUGUUUGAGGCAGGCGGAAUGCGUGGUGUAGCGGUGAAAUGCUUAGAUAUCACGCAGAACCCCGAUUGCGAAGGCAGCCUGCCAAGCCAUGACUGACGCUGAUGCACGAAAGCGUGGGGAUCAAACAGGAUUAGAUACCCUGGUAGUCCACGCAGUAAACGAUGAUCACUAGCUGUUUGCGAUACACUGUAAGCGGCAC